rnacentral:rRNA from 1 species
GACGUAGGAUGCAAGCGUUGUCCGGAUUUAUUGGGCGUAAAGAGUUCGUAGGCGGUUUUUUAAGUCUGGAGUUAAAGAUCAAGGCUCAACCUUGGGACUGCUUUGGAUACUGAGAGACUUGAGUGCAGUAGGGGCGAGUGGAAUUUCCAGUGUAGCGGUGAAAUGCGUAGAUAUUGGAAAGAACACCAGUGGCGUAGGCGGCUCGCUGGGCUGCAACUGACGCUGAGGAACGAAAGCUAGGGGAGCAAAUGGG